rnacentral:rRNA from 1 species
AAAGGCGGCAAUAGCGCGGGGGUCCCACCCCUCCCCAUUCCGAACAGGGCAGUUAAGCCCCGCCGCGCCGAUGGUACUGGGAAACCGGGAGAGCAGGUCGCCGCCCCCU